rnacentral:hammerhead_ribozyme from 1 species
AUACAGCUGAUGAGUCCCAAAUAGGACGAAAUGGUGCGCGUCCUGAAU